AUCUGACUGGGGGCUGGGGGCAGAGAAAUCACUAUCUGUGGGCUGUGUUCCUCACCUUACUGCUGCCUUCUCUUCUGGAGAAACGCUGUUGUUUGUCAACCUCAGAAUACAAAUUUGCACAACAACAUAACUAUUUAUUAAGCAUAAUGUGGCUUGUUUUGUCUGAAUUAAGUAUUUUUUACUUAUAGUGUUUCUCAAAGGAGUUGCAGUUUAUCAUAAUGUUCCACUUAUUAUGCAAAUGAUAGGGUAUUCGUAGGAAAAGAAGCUCAGAUUAAGUAAUAUAAUUCAUCAAUAUUCAUUUGAUUUUUCCCCAAGGAGCCGAUGCACUCAGGCCUUUCACACUUCAUUAACAGGGUGCGGCCUCAGUUGGCUUGUUCCACUAAUGUACCAGGAGAUUGCCUGUCAGAAUCUCUCCAACUCCUCAAAUGGGUCUUCACCAUCCACCUCCACCUCCCAGUAUAAAACACAGCUAAGCAGAAGAGUAGCACCACAGUCCACAUACGAGAGGUGGACAGCAUCUUCUCAUCUGUUUACCAGCACGAGACACAGCUGGAGCUCAAAUAGCCUUGUAAACAUUUCCGCUGAAGAACUCAGCCGCCCAAGGAGAAGGGAGAUCUGCAUGUCAGGGACUGGCUUGUUCAAUG